rnacentral:rRNA from 1 species
AACGAACGCUGGCGGCAGGCUUAACACAUGCAAGUCGAACGGGUGUAGCAAUACAUCAGUGGCAGACGGGUGAGUAACACGUGGGAACCUUCCUAGGGGUACGGAACAACUCAGGGAAACUUGAGCUAAUACCGUAUACGUCCGUGAGGAGAAAGAUUUAUCGCCCUUAGACGGGCCCGCGUCGGAUUGGUAGUUGGUGGGGUAACGGCCUACCAAGCCGACGAUCCGCAGCUGAUCUUAGAGGAUGAUCAGCCACACUGGGACUGAGACACGGCCCAGACUCCUACGGGAGGCAGCAGUGGGGAAUCUUGGACAAUGGGCGCAAGCCUGAUCCAGCCAUGCCGCGUGAGUGAAGAAGGUCUUAGGGUUGUAAAGCUCUUUUGGCAGGGACGAUAAUGACGGUACCUGCAGAAUAAGCCCCGGCAAACUUCGUGCCAGCAGCCGCCGCCGUAA